rnacentral:rRNA from 1 species
UACGUAGGGGGCAAGCGUUAUCCGGAUUUACUGGGUGUAAAGGGAGCGUAGACGGCCAGACAAGUCUGAAGUGAAAAUCCAGCGCUUAACGUUGGAAGUGCUUUGGAAACUGCCGGGCUAGAGUGCAGAAGGGGAGAGUGGAAUUCCAUGUGUAGCGGUGGAAUGCGUAGAUAUAUGGAGGAACACCGGUGGCGAAAGCGGCUCUCUGGUCUGUAACUGACGCUGAGGCUCGAAAGCGUGGGUAGCGAACAGG